rnacentral:lncRNA from 10 species
CAUGUCCCUCAGCUCCCAUCCCCUCCUUCUUCCCUGCCCUGAGAGCCAUCCGGGUUUCCUUUCCAGUCUCCCUCUGCUCCUGUGCUUUCUUCCCCUUCCCUCACUUCCCCUGCUCUGUCUUCUCCUCAGUUCCCCGCCCUCCCUCUCUGCACCUGCCCAGUUUCCCCCAUCUCCCCUCCAUGCUCCCUUCCUCCCCAGCUCCUGAGUUGGACCACCUCAGCUCAGCGCCCUACUUCCUGUGCCUGCCCCUGCCUGCUGCCCACCAUCCCUGCACACAGCUCACUCCUCCCUCUGGCCCUCCUGCUGAGCAGGCGGCUCCCCCACUGCCCUGGGCCUGCCCACCUUCCCCAGCCCCCGCAGUCAAGGCUCUCCAACUCCACACCACCGGGGUGAGGGCAGAGAGGCACCCUCUCCAGGGCUGCGCUUCCUCCAGCAGGGCCUGUGUCCUCACCUCCAACGUGAAGAUCAGGCUGGGCCAUUAUUGCAGAGCUGUGCUGAGUGUUGAAGAAGGUGCGUGUCACGCGUUAUUAUAGGUAGCUGGUGUUUCCUGAGCGUUUGGAAACGACGCUUUGUAAAAUACUGUGAACUAACCGCAGAGCUGGGCACAGCAUGCUUCAUGAUCUCAUUUUAUACUGACGUGUUUAGUCAUCGUGCUGUCAAGUAUUCUCCAGCCACAUCAUUUGUUAGUAGUUUGACCUGCAUAGGAGGGCACUGUCACCCUCCCUCCUGCUGUGCUGAUUUCAGCUGGAGCCGCCAGGCCAGGCCGCCUCACGCGCCCCCUGCUGACUAACCCGGGAACUGCCCGCAGCCUGCUCUGAGCUUUCUGAUGUGGGCGGGACCGGGCCGGGCAGGGCCAGGCGCCUGCGGGGAGGGGCGGGGCCCGGCGACUGAGGGGAGGGGCGGGGCCAGGCGCCUGCGGGAGGAGACCUGGUCCAGGAUCAAGGAGUCGCUCAGUGCAGGACCGGCCCAGAGUUCACAUCCCUGGCUUGAUCUACAGGAGCCAGCUGAGGAGGUGUGUCAUGCAACUUGCCCCCCCAGCCCUCCCCUUCUAAGGAACCCCCACACCUGCUCUGUCUUCCUGCUACAGUCUCUGAGAAAAGCCCUUUCAUCUGUCAAGAACUACAAAAGUCAUUCUUUAAGUGCUAAAUAAACAAUGAAACAGACACAAAGUUAAAGUUACCUGAUCCAAAAAGGAGUGAAGCCUAGACCCCAGCCCACUGACUCAGUCUCUAAGACCCCUCACUCAAAUCUUCAAUCAACAGUGGAGAUGGCUGUGAGCUCUUCUGAUUCCAGAUGACAAUACUCCUCCCUUUAAUUCCUUGAUAUGUUUAAUUAUGUAAGUAAAUUUAAUAUAAAAAUCAUUGCAUUAGAGUUCAUUGUUUUUAUACAAGAUUCAGUGUGAGAUCAAUGUUAUACUUCCAAUUUGUCACACUUACAGAGAACUGAGAAGAAUCACAUUAUUUAAAAUCUUAGCAAAUGUGCAUAAUUCCUUUGGAUAAUUUUAAAGUGAUAGGAUUGGAUCACAUAUGAUGCAAUUGCCUGGGUCUGUUUUGUUUUUAGUUGUAUUUGUCUCUCAUAUUGUGAAUCUCAUAUUUAUGUGACUAAUUAUCAGAAGAUUUUAUCUUUAUUAUGCAUAUUUAGUAUAAAAUGAUCAUACAGUGAAGAGUGUGUAAAAUCAAAAUAAAAUGCCAUUCAUCACCUCUGGCUCUCAUUCCAAGA